rnacentral:rRNA from 1 species
UACGUAGGGUGCGAGCGUUAAUCGGAAUUACUGGGCGUAAAGGGCGCGUAGGCGGCUCGGCACGUCCGUUGUGAAAUCGCCCGGCUCAACUGGGCGGGGUCAGCGGAUACGGUCGAGCUUGAGCAAGCUAGGGGGCAAUGGAAUUCCUGGUGUAGCGGAGAAAUGCGCAGAUAUCAGGAGGAACACCGGUGGCGAAGGCGGGACUCUGGGCCGAUACUGACGCUGAGGAGCGAAAGCGUGGGGAGCAAACAGG